GACGGCUGGCCUGACGGCAGCUCUCCCACAGCUGGGGGCAUAAACCCACUCAAAGAGGAGCUGGCCCGUCAUGGCAUCUUCUAGGAAGGACGGCCCCAGGACGCAUCACCCCACGAGGAGACGCUCCGGAGAACGGACAGAGGGCCUUGAUAACUGUGCCGGGCGUGAACGGAGAUGAGCCAGCAGAGACGGGACACGUGGCCACCUCCCAGUUACAGUGACCUCACCCCAGGACUUAGAGUAGAAAACUCAUUCGAUGCUGCUCAGUGUCUGCGUUCAACUUCCAGGAAGGACGCUGACCGUGCCGCCCCCACUCACAGAGGGAGAAGCAAUGGCAGAGGGUCACCCCCAAAUUCAUGGGCAGCCAGCAACCUGGGUGUGUUUGCAACUAACAGUCCACUGCAUGGAGACAAGGGAUCUUUAAGGACAGCAGCCCCAGCCCCCGAGGCUGCCCCGCGGCCAGCAGCAUGGAUGAGAGAGGCUGCAGGUCACGGCCGUGGUGACCUUCAGGGAGGAGUCUCCUCCUCCUGUCUUGCGAGCCACCCUGUCCUCGAGGCCACUCUGCGAGCAGCUUUCAAACUAAUAAAAGCAAAUGGAGUUUUUGAUUGCA